rnacentral:lncRNA from 1 species
CCAGACACUCACACUCUGUUCAGACAACAACAGACAAACGGAGUCUCAGGAUCUCAAACUUGCAAAGGCCCUGUACAACCUAUCUUUCUGAGGAGCUCAAAUGUCUCUUCCUGAAUCGUCCACUUAUUAAUCCUGGCUCCGGGCUCCAAGACUUUGUUUCCUCAUCUGAAAACCUGCUUCUUCUCAGGGCGUUCUGGGGGGUAAGUGAAGGAGCACAUGGAGAACAUUAGUUGGACUCGACAUGCCCUUGGCAGCCCUCAGAUGUUGACUCACUUUACGCUCUUCAGUUUUCAUCCCGGGGCCCGACAGCAUGCGUGCUACUCUCCCUGGGCCCUGUAAGAGGUCCGACAAAAGGGAUCUUGUUCUGAGGAAAGAUCUAUUUGGCCUGAAUUUAUACCUUAUUCCAGAAUGUUUCCAAGGGCUUCUGAGCAGAUGGUGAACCAGGGGAAUGCAGGGCAGCCCGUCACCUUCUCUCCAUCCCAGCCACUGGGAAGGAACAGCACAGAGAGAGGUUUGAAGGCCUUGCCACUGUGGUUGCCUAAAGUCCAGCCAAUACCUGGACUGGGACUUGAAUUCCUGUCAUAUGAACAAGGCUCCUGACCCAAGAAGGGCUAUGGACAGGAAAGUUCUCUUUGGGGUGUCCAUGCGGCAGGUACUGGACAGCUCAAGCUGAACAUGGCAUAGCCAGAUCACUGAGUUUAAUUUUCCAGCUGAACAAACUGGGACCCAACCACUGCGACUUCCACUCUGCUUUGGAGUUGAUAAAAUGUUGCUGCAAAGUAACAGAGAAGAAGGUCAUUGCUGUCCAGUCCCACCAAGUUCCGGGGCUGGGCCCUUUCCAUUGUAGCUGCCCUCUGGGUGUCAGGGGUGGCAGCCUCUGUCUCAGGGGACUUGUGAGAGUUGGAAGAGAUGAUCCAUGGAUGGACCAGUCUGGAUGGGGAGCUGUGAAGCUUCAGCUUUGGAGGGAAUCACUUCUGCGUGCAGCAUGUGGACAGCUGCAGCGGGAUGACCCCAGUCCACAGCAGUGGAAGGAACCGCUCACUUGGCUCUCAACACGGGCCCCUCAGAAGGUGACCAUCCAGUCAGUGGCCCUCUGGUGCUGGAUGGAAGGCUCUUUCAAUGCUGACCCUUCUUUAUUUAUGGUCCCCCAGGCCCCAGCCUCCCACCUUCCCUCAGUCCAGGUGCCAGUACUCAUCCUUUCUCCCAGGCCCAGGCCUAGCUCUUUUCUC